UACAGAGGUCUCGAGCGUUGUUCGGAUUCAUUGGGCGUAAAGGGUGCGUAGGUGGCGCUGUAAGUCAGGUGUGAAAUUUCGGAGCUUAACUCCGAAACUGCAUUUGAUACUGCGGUGCUUGAGGACUGGAAAGGAGACUGGAAUUUACGGUGUAGCAGUGAAAUGCGUAGAGAUCGUAAGGAAGACCAGUGGCGAAGGCGGGUCUCUGGACAGUUCCUGACACUGAGGCACGAAGGCCAGGGGAGCAAACGGG
rnacentral:rRNA from 1 species